rnacentral:rRNA from 1 species
CCUACGGGGGGCAGCAGUGGGGAAUAUUGGACAAUGGGCGAAAGCCUGAUCCAGCCAUGCCGCGUGUGUGAAGAAGGUCUUCGGAUUGUAAAGCACUUUAAGUUGGGAGGAAGGGUUGUAACCUAAUACGUUGCAACUUUGACGUUACCGACAGAAUAAGCACCGGCUAACUUCGUGCCAGCAGCCGCGGUAAUACGAAGGGUGCAAGCGUUAAUCGGAAUUACUGGGCGUAAAGCGCGCGUAGGUGGUUUGAUAAGUUGGAUGUGAAAGCCCCGGGCUCAACCUGGGAAUUGCAUCCAAAACUGUCUGACUAGAGUACGGUAGAGGGUAGUGGAAUUUCCUGUGUAGCGGUGAAAUGCGUAGAUAUAGGAAGGAACACCAGUGGCGAAGGCGACUACCUGGACUGAUACUGACACUGAGGUGCGAAAGCGUGGGGAGCAAACAGGAUUAGAUACCCUAGUAGUC